rnacentral:rRNA from 1 species
UUUAUGGAGAGUUUGAUCCUGGCUCAGGACGAACGCUGGCGGCGUGCCUAAUACAUGCAAGUCGAGCGGAUCUCAUCGGGAGCUUGCUCCCGAUGGGGUUAGCGGCGGACGGGUGA